rfam:Dipodomys ordii contig_33423, whole genome shotgun sequence.
GGGAAGGUGGCUCAGUGGUAGAGUGCUUGCCUUGUAUGCAUGAGACCAUGGGUUUGAUUCCUCAGCAUCACA